AGACUUUCUCCCUAUCCUAUCCCCCAUUAGAGUCAAAGUGGGGUUAGGAAAAAUUGAUGGGUGUAGGAUGAAUCAGAUUGAGCUUGGGAACAAUUGCAAUCCCUAGGUCGAAAUUGGAUCACAAAGUCCUCUAAUUUCAAUUCAGUAUUGUUGAUUUUAUUUAGUUUCAAUUCGAUUAUAUUUUCAAUUCUGAUUUCCAACAAAUUUAAUAGUUAA
rnacentral:misc_RNA from 1 species